UACGUAGGGACCAAGCGUUGUUCGGAUUUACUGGGCGUAAAGGGCGCGUAGGCGGCGUGGUAAGUCACUUGUGAAAUCUCUGAGCUUAACUCAGAACGGCCAAGUGAUACUGCUGUGCUAGAGUGCAGAAGGGGCAAUCGGAAUUCUUGGUGUAGCGGUGAAAUGCGUAGAUAUCAAGAGGAACACCUGAGGUGGAGACGGGUUGCUGGGCUGACACUGACGCUGAGGCGCGAAAGCUAGGGGAGCAAACGGG
rnacentral:rRNA from 1 species